CAGCAGCCGCGGGAAAACGUAGGGUGCAAGCGUUAAUCGGAAUUACUGGGCGUAAAGCGUGCGCAGGCGGUUUGUUAAGACAGAUGUGAAAUCCCCGGGCUCAACCUGGGAACUGCAUUUGUGACUGGCAAGCUAGAGUGUGGCAGAGGGGGAUGGAAUUCCACGUGUAGCAGUGAAAUGCGUAGAUACGCGGAGGAACACCGAUGGCGAAGGCAAUCCCCUGGACCUGUACUGACGCUCAUGCACGAAAGCGUGGGGAGCAAACAGGAUUAGAUACCCCCGUAGUCCCUGUCUCUUAUAC
rnacentral:rRNA from 1 species